ensembl:snoRNA
UCUGAUCCAUGAUGAUCACUGAACACAAUGAGGACUGUUGGAUGAAGCUUGCGGAUAUGGGACUGAGAUCAGCC